GAUCAAUGUCGUCUUUGAAAUUGAUAAAAUAAUUCUUAAAUCUGAUUUUUAAUUUCUAAACGGAUCAGAGACACGAAGAUUGUGGAUUCUCUUCCUCUUCCCAUUCAUUUUUACAUAAAGGGUAAUCAAUUCCUGUUUUUGACUGUUCCAAAAGCUGGAUCAACGUCAUGGCGAGGGUUUUUCAAUAAGAAUACUGAGUUUAAUGCAAGCAUAGGAGGGAAUCCAGAAUCAUUCCGUUUACCAAACCAAGAAAUUAUUCUUCAAGUUCGACAUCCUUUUGGAAAAUAUUAAUUCAAAUAUCAUUCGCCACCAUUUUUUCAAGCUGGCCCUUUGAUUAACAACAAAUUCCGAUAGCAAACACACACACAACCAUUGGAAAAAAAGUUCCUUUUAAUCACAAUUUGGUCAAAUUUUCGUUCAGAUUUUUCCAUAGCU